rnacentral:rRNA from 1 species
ACCAGACUCCUACGGGAGGCAGCAGUGGGGAAUAUUGGUCAAUGGUCGGGAGACUGAACCAGCCAAGCCGCGUGAGGGAUGAAGGUACAGAGUAUCGUAAACCUCUUUUGUCAGGGAACAAAGGCGGGGACGUGUCCCCGGAUGAGUGUACCUGAAGAAAAAGCAUCGGCUAACUCCGUGCCAGCAGCCGCGGUAAUACGGAGGAUGCGAGCGUUAUCCGGAUUUAUUGGGUUUAAAGGGUGCGUAGGCGGGCUGUUAAGUCAGCGGUCAAAUGUCGGGGCUCAACCCCGUCGUGCCGUUGAAACUGGCGUUCUUGAGUGAGCGAGAAGUAUGCGGAAUGCGCGGUGUAGCGGUGAAAUGCAUAGAUAUCGCGCAGAACUCCGAUUGCGAAGGCAGCAUGCCGGCUCCACACUGACGCUGAGGCACGAAAGCGUGGGUAUCGAACAGGAUUAGAUACCCUCGUAGU